UGGGGAAUAUUGCACAAUGGGGGAAACCCUGAUGCAGCGACGCCGCGUGAGUGAAGAAGUAUCUCGGUACGUAAAGCUCUAUCAGCAGGGAAGAAAUACUGACCUUGCGGUCAGCAGACGGUACCUGACUAAGAAGCCCCGGCUAACUACGUGCCAGCAGCCGCGGUAAUACGUAGGGGGCAAGCGUUAUCCGGAUUUACUGGGUGUAAAGGGAGCGUAGACGGCAGCGCAAGUCUGGAGUGAAAUGCCGGGGCCCAACCCCGGAACUGCUUUGGAAACUGUGCAGCUCGAGUGCGGGAGAGGCAGGCGGAAUUCCUAGUGUAGCGGUGAAAUGCGUAGAUAUUAGGAGGAACACCAGUGGCGAAGGCGGCCUGCUGGACCGUAACUGACGUUGAGGCUCGAAAGCGUGGGGAGCAAACAGG
rnacentral:rRNA from 1 species